GAACUGUGGUGCCCAGAACUGGACACAGUACUCCAGGUGAGGUCUGACCAGAGCAGAAUACAGUGGCACUAUUACUUCCCUUGAUCUAGAUGCUAUACUCCUAUUGAUGCAGCCCAGAAUUGCAUUGGCUUUUUCCUUGGACUUUAUGACAAUAAAAACAUAUAGAAGGUUAAUAGUAAUAGGAUAUGUUAUUGCCACCAGGAACUGUGCUUUGCAAUUUUUUGAUAUGACAAUUACAGUUUUAUUAUAUAUAAUGUUAUGUUACUUUACGGGGAUGCAGGUGGUGCUGUGGUCUAAACCACAGAGCCUAGGGCUUGCUGAUCAGAAGGUUGGCGGUUCGAAUCCCCGUGACAGGGUGAGCUACCAUUGCUCGGUCCCUGCUCCUGCCAACCUAGCAGUUCAAAAGCACGUCAAAAUGCAAUUAGAUAAAUAGGUACUGCUCUGGCGGGAAGGUAAAUGGCGUUUCCGUGCACUGCUCUGGUUCGCCAGAAGCGGCUUAGUCAUGCUGGCCACAUGACCCAGAAGCUGUACGCCGGCUCCCUCGGCCAGUAAAGCGAGAUGAGCGCCGCAACCCCAGAGUCGGCCACGACUGGACCUAACGGUCAGGGGUCCCUUUACCUUUACCUCCCCUUGUGGCAGAUAUUAAUGUUGCGCAGCUUGAAGCAAUUGGGUACACAAAAGCUACAAUAAAAGGAAACCCAUUAGCUUUACUAAUCAGAAAUUCUUCAAAGCAAGUACAAAACAAUCCAUGAUACACCCAGAGAAUUGCAUAAAGCAGAGGGUUUCAACCUUUUCCAAUUCUAGGAUUGCCCUGGCCCGAGUGGUCCUUUGCUCAUUGAUUCCCAGAAAACAUCUCUCCAGCAGCUGCUGACAUUACGUCCAACUGAGGGGAUCAUUUCCAUUCUCCAUGCUUGGCAAAGUUGUCUCUUUCCUCCGUGCCUUUUAUGCAACCACUUCCUGGCAGGCCCCUUCACAAAUCGUGAUGUCAUGGGAGCACAUUUUUGGGAGAAUGAAAGGCGCUUCUGUCACAGACCUGAUCCACGGACCGACACACACACCCCGCUCCCCACUGACAGCGCAACCAGGGGGAAAUGCAUUUGGAGGUACGAGCUUUUGGAUUUGUUCAGACCCCCCCCCAUUCCAAUACACUGGAGAGAAUCUUUGCACGUAAUCCUAAAAGCACAUUUAAAGCCUCUUCCGUGCUGAUGUGUCUGUCAAUGUGCCUAUCAACGUGGGAGGACAGGAAGCAGAAGGAUAUCAUUAUAAUUUCUCAAGUUUCCCUACAGAUCUGUCAGCAGGGGUAUUUAUUUGUACACAGCUAUUCUUUGGGGAGCGCGGAAAAGUUACGGGAUGCGGAAGUGGCUGCGGUAUUCAGCAGCUUUCAUUUUAUAAAAAUAAAAAUAAAACCGCACGCAUCAGGUUUCUAGUCCUUGUGAUUGCAGACCCAAAAACAGCUCUUCUCAGAAAGAAGACCCAUUGAAAAUGGUUCAGGUGAUGCCUGAGGCAAAGGAUCCAGUGCAGACUGAGUCUCCACUGGUUCCGAGUCCAAGCCCGAGUCCCAGGCCACCACACUUGAAACCAUUUGUUCAGGUUCUACCUUCCAGAGCAGGAGAAAACAAGCUUGCUCCAUCUUCCAUGUGGCAACCCUUCAGAUAUUUGAAGAUGGCUCUCAUAUCUCCUUUCUGUCUCCUUUUUUCCAGGCUAAACACACAAGGUUCCCUCCAGGUAGAUGUACUGUGUGUGGCUCAUCUGGAGAUACACCUGGCCUGUAGCAGAAACUCCUUCCACCUUUCUGGGUGUGGCUCCUUCCAUAGCUGAGUGGGAACUAGUCGUUUUCCCUUUGCUCCAGAGGCCAGGCCCAAACCAGUGGAUUCCUAUGACGGAAAAGGAGAGUCCAGCUAAAUUUAGGAAGAACUUUCUGAUGGCAAGAGCUCUUUGACAGUGGAACGGACUCUCUCAGAAGGUGGUGGACUCUCCUUCCUUGGAGCUCUUUAAGGAGAGGUGAGAUGGUCACCUGUCCUGGAUCCUUUAGUUGAGAUUCCGGCAUUGCAAAGGGGUUGGACUAGAUCAGGCUUCCUCAGCCUCGGCCCUCCAGAUAUUUUGAGACUACAAUUCCCAUCAUCCCUGACCACUGGUCCUGCUAGCUAUGGAUCAUGGGAGUUGUAGUCCAAAAACAUCUGGAGGGCCUAGGUUGAGGAAGCCUGCACUAGAUGAUCCAACUCUACAAGCCCUAUACGGCCUAGGACCCUUGUACCUACAGGACCGCCUCUCCUGGUAUGUCCCAUGGAGGACCUUACAGUCUUCAAAUAAAAACAUCUUGGAGGUCCCGGGCCACAGGGAGGUUAGGCUGGCCUCAACCAGAGCCAGGGCUUUUUCGGCCGUGGCCCCGAUCUGGUGGAACACUCUGUCACAAGAGACUAGGGCCCUGCAGGACUUGACAUCUUUCCGCAGGGCCUGCAAGACAGAGCUGUUCCACCAGGCCUUUGGCCAAGGCACAGUCUGACCCCCUCCUUUGUUGAUCCUCUUAGAACUCUGGCCCAGUGGUUGCCAUUUGAUUUUGAAUUGAUUUUAUAAUAUUGUUUUUAGAAUGCUUUGUUACUGUCAGGGAACUGCCAUCAGUGCCAGAGGGAGAGAGCAAAAUCCAGAGGGAUUCCAGAGAGCGUCCCGGGAUUGGGAGAGGCAGCCCAUCUUCUGGGGAAGAGAAUCAGCGUAGCCACAGUGGAGAAGGGG